rnacentral:rRNA from 1 species
UACGUAGGGGGCAAGCGUUGUCCGGAAUCAUUGGGCGUAAAGCGCGUGUAGGCGGCUCGAUAAGUCCGUUCUGAAAGUCCAGGGCUCAACCCUGGGAUGCGGAUGGAUACUGUCGAGCUCGAGUCCGGAAGAGGCGAGUGGAAUUCCUGGUGUAGCGGUGAAAUGCGCAGAUAUCAGGAGGAACACCAAUGGCGAAGGCAGCUCGCUGGGACGUGACUGACGCUGAGACGCGAAAAGCGUGGGGAGCAAACAGG